CUUCUACAGAGCCGAGGAGCAGAGCAGUUGUCCAGACUUCCUGAUACCCACGUGGUACUGACGUUCUUUAUUUCAACUCCAUUCUUAAAUCCCAGCCCUGCAACUGAAUACAUGUGCGUGGAACCUGGCACCCAUGCAUCUCUGUCGUCUUUAAUGGGAGUCCACACCGCUUUAAGAAUGGAUCAGAUAUCAACAUCAGCUGCAGACUGUCAAUUGUAACACUUCCAGGUGGUUACCACAUCAAGCAUCCCAAGCAGCAUAUUGCUGGAAGUGCCACAUAACAGGUUAACUCUUGAAAGCAGAAGAAAAGUAGUGGGCUCAAAGGAUAUCUUGUUUUUUUCCAAGCCAAGUGCUGUUUUCUUGAACCUCUUGUAAAUGGAAGACCUCUGCUAAAGGAUUCUGAACUCUGCAGGGCAGAGGCUGCCUCUCGCUGUCUGUACAAUGCCUAGCACAAUAGAGCCCAAAUCUUAAUUGGGGACUCCAGAUGAUACUGUAAUAAUUUAAUAAUGACAACUUAUUGGAGCUCUGGAUCUUCUGAUUGGAGCCUGAUACUGGAGACCACAGAACACAUUCUGCUGUGUGGUACAUUGAGGAAGAUGCAAGAGAAACAGGUUCUCCCUUCCUUCUGGAGGAAGGCUACUGUGAUACAUUGGCGUGCUGCUUUUACAUUCUGGACUGAGCUCAGUUGCUGGCAUUCCGGUCACCUGAUUGUGUGAAUGGUUUUUACAGUUGCAAGAAAUUAAUUAUUUUUUAAAAAUAAUUUUGCUUCUAACAUGCUGAUGUUGGGGGCUCUGAGCACAUAAUGCACAUGGCAGAGGAGAUACGGAUUGACUUUCCUGAAACUCAGUGCAGAUACUCUUCAACCUGUUCUCCAUUUCAUGGUAUUAGUUGUUAAGAACAGGGAGGAACAAAUGCAGGCAGCUGGUUUUCCAGAUAACGCACUUAGCCUUAUAGGACCCAUUGAACAAUGACAGCACAUAAUGCUGGUUGGUUGUUGGGGAUUAUAUUUUUCUGAGCAAUUUUAUUUAUGACACGAUUUUGAUUUUUGUUAAGAUGAUAGCCUUACAGGGGGGAAAGGGAAAUGCAAAUAAAUAGUGUCAAUUAUUGACAUCCCAUUCCCAUUGCUUAAAGUAUUAUUAUCAAAAUCUUGACAUAAGAGGCCAAGCUUUGGCUGGUCUCUAUGCAGGGACUCAAGGUGGGAACCCCACCUGCACACUCCCUCUGUGCAUGGGCCAGCCACAAUUGAUGUCCUUGUGCUCUGAUGACCACAGGGGCUGCUCCCUGCUGUGCCCCUUGAGAUACUUGUCACGCCAAACAUGGCAGGGAAGAGGUGGACCUUGGAAAAGUAUAAUCUGCAAUCCCCUCCACAACGAGCCUGCCCUACCACUUCCGCAUCCCAUUUAGGGUGACUGAUAUCCCAUGGAGCACUAGCCAGGAGCAGUCCAUGUGCUCAGGGAAGCAUGGAGACUGCAAUUGUGGUCGGUUCCCUAUAGGCUUAGGGAUGGAAGGAUGGGGGUGGAAUAGUCUUGUACCCUUCUUUAGUACCCAAACAAGACUAGCUCCCAUCUGGCCCUAGAUAUAAAAUGCUUUUUAUCUUCAAAGUGCUUUGCAAAAAUGAAGUUGUGACCGUGCACCCCAUAAAGCUUUACGGAAAUAUGCUUAUGAAUGUAUAUAUAUAUGACAUAACUGGAAUAUGUUUUAUGAUACAUAUACCAUGUAACAUAUCUCUGUAAAGGUUAUGAUCUAUUGAAUCUAUUCAUCCUAUUUGUAUGCAUGUGUCCUUGCUGUAUUUGAAGUUAUGAAUAUUGUGUACUUGCUUGAUUUCUAAGUAGCUUUAGUAAAGCAUUUGGUCAGCUUCUUGAGAAAGGAAUGUGCAAAUUAAGUGCCCAAUCAAGAAACACUUAAAGGACAAUGAAUCUUGGAAGGCUCCAAUCCACAUAAGACAUCUACCUGAGGAUGUUCAGGGUAGCAUGUAAACAAUGGCUGCUGCCUGUAAAAACUGAGUCAUGCAUGGACAUGUGACUUACCCAUGUGACUCCAAAACUCCAUCUUGGAGCUGGACUUUGCAUAGGAGAGAGGAGGGGGUCUCCACCCACAAGAGAGAGUCUAUUUAAACCCCUGGGAGACCCCUCCAUUUUGUCUUCGGCUGGCUCAAGAGAUAUCCUUGAGGGUGGAGAGGCUACCUGAAAGAAACUGAAACAAAGGACAGUAACUACUGGGGGUGUGAGUGAUUGCUGGACCCAGACUAGAAGGAGACUAGUCUGUAAAAGGAAGCUUACUGGAAUUCCUCUGAGGGUGAGGACUGUAUUCAGUUUUCUUACUGUAUUAGACAUAGAACACUCAAGUCUAUUUUAUUUUGCUUGGUAAUUCAC